rnacentral:rRNA from 1 species
UACGUAGGGGGCAAGCGUUGUCCGGAAUCAUUGGGCGUAAAGAGCGUGUAGGCGGCUCGAUAAGUCUGCUGUGAAAGUCCAGGGCUCAACCCUGGAAGGCCGGUGGAAACUGUCGGGCUAGAGUCCGGAAGAGGCGAGUGGAAUUCCCGGUGUAGCGGUGAAAUGCGCAGAUAUCGGGAGGAACACCGGUGGCGAAGGCGGGUCUCUGGGCCGAUAUUGACGCUGAGGAGCGAAAGCGUGGGGAGCGAACAGG